rnacentral:rRNA from 1 species
GACAGAGGGUGCAAACGUUGUUCGGAAUUACUGGGCGUAAAGCGCAUGUAGGCGGCCAAGCAGGUCGGAUGUGAAAUCCCUCGGCUCAACCAAGGAAGUGCAUUCGAAACCGCAUGGCUGGAGUCCCGGAGAGGGUAGUGGAAUUCUCGGUGUAGAGGUGAAAUGCGUAGAUAUUGGGAGGAACACCAGUGGCGAAGGCGGCUCACUGGACCGGAACUGACGCUGAGGCGCGAAAGCGUGGGGAGCAAACAGG